ACUAGCAGUAAGAGUUUGAUCAUGGCUCAGGACGAACGCUGGCGGCACGCCUAACACAUGCAAGUCGAACGGCCCCUUCGGGGGCAGUGGCGGACGGGUGAGUAACGCGUGGGAACCUGCCCCUUGGUUCGGGACAACCCGGGGAAACCCGGGCUAAUACCGGAUGCGCUCCUGGCUUUGGCUGAGAGGAAAGAUUGAUCGCCGAGGGAUGGGCCCGCGUCGGAUUAGGUUGUUGGUGAGGUAACGGCUCACCAAGCCUACGAUCCGUAGCUGGUCUGAGAGGAUGAUCAGCCACACUGGGACUGAGACACGGCCCAGACUCCUACGGGAGGCAGCAGUGGGGAAUCUUGGACAAUGGACGCAAGUCUGAUCCAGCGAUGCCGCGUGAGCGAUGAAGGCCUUAGGGUUGUAAAGCUCUUUCGCCCGCGACGAUGAUGACGGUAGCGGGAGAAGAAGCCCCGGCUAACUCCGUGCCAGCCGCCGCGGUAAUUC
rnacentral:rRNA from 1 species